rnacentral:rRNA from 1 species
UACGGGGGGGGCAAGCGUUGUUCGAAAUUACUGGGCGUAAAGGGCUCGUAGGUGGCCAACUAAGUCGGACGUGAAAUCCCUCAGCUUAACUGGGGAACUGCGUCCGAUACUGGAUGGCUCGAGUUUGGGAGAGGGAUGCGGAAUUCCAGGUGUAGCGGUGAAAUGCGUAGAUAUCUGGAGGAACACCGGUGGCGAAGGCGGCAUCCUGGACCAACACUGACACUGAGGAGCGAAAGCCAGGGGAGCAAACGGG